CCCAAGAAUCCUAGGAGGUGUAGUUUGUUAAACCUGCUGAGAGUUCUUAGAAGAUAUCCCCCCCCUUCCCUCUCAAAACGACAGUUCCCAGAAGGAUUUAACAAUCUCUCCUGAGUGUCUUCUCACAGGUAAUUGCAACUCCAAGAUGAGAAAGGGAGUGGCGUUCGUAACAGCACCCCUACAGCUCCCAGAAUUCUUUGGGGGAAGCCGUGACUGUUUUACGUGGUAUUAGGGCACUGUGAAUGUAUGGUGUGCAUGUGACCAGAGAGAGAUCCUCUUGUCUUUCAUCAUGGGCUUUUCUUAUUUGGGCCACGCACCUGCUCCACAGACAUCAACUGAUUUAGUGACAGGAAUGGGAGUCAGGAGCAGGUCAGCAAUAACCCACAUGGCUAGCAGCGGCACCACCUUGUGCCAAAGGCUGAGGGGGCCCAAUGUUGCACUAUGCGGUCACAAGGUUGGGUGCUGUGCCAAGACCCCUUUUGCUGUGCACUGGAGCACCCUGUGGUCAGUAGAAAGCGGGGCACCAUGCAGUGCCCCCCAGCAGAGCGUUCCAUGCUCAGGAAAAGGCCAGGGGCCAUACCAUGCCCCUUGCUGGAGCACCCUGUUCCACGCACACCCUGGAGAAUCCCAUGGUUGGGAGGUCAAGCACUGCAUCACACUCCAGAACACACUGUGCCACUCCCCCUCCCCCAAAAUAUUGAGGGGACCCAAAACAGCUCAGCGCUCCUGGUUGCUAAGACUAAAGGUCCCCACCUUCCUACAGCUCUCUAAGUCUCCUCUCCCCCAGUUCCUUCCCAAGUACUCUGAGGCUCCUUCGUGUUGCAUAUCUUUCUUCUGCCUGUUCAUGCCUCUUGGGUUCUGGGAGACCAGCAGGGAGGAGAGCUGGUUGCUGCAGAAGAGGGAGAAAGGCUGGCUUCCUCACCAGCCUGACACACUUCUGCUUCUUGGGCUCCCUCAUUCCACUCUCCUGUUUCAUUCAGCUUCUGCCUCUGAUUCUGGACUUCUCUCAGCCGCAGACUCUUCCUGCUCAAUAAACCCUGUUACCUCUUCAGCUUCGGACACCAUCUCUUCCCAAUCUGCUCCCUCUGACCACUCAUCAUCAUCCCACUACCAAUCCCCCAGCUCUGAGCCAGUCUAGGACAUUUAGUAAAGAUAAAGGGACCCCUGACAGUUAGGUCUAGUCGCAGACGACUCUGGGGUGGCGGCACUCAUCUUGCUUUACUGGCCAAGGGAGCCAGCGUACAGCUUCCUGGUCAUGUGGUCAGCAUGACUAAGCCGCUUCUGGCGAAACCAGAGCAGCGCACGGAAACACUGUUUACCUUCCCACAGGAGCGGUACCUAUUUAUCUACUUGCAUUGGCAUGCUUUCAAACUGCUAGGUUAGCAGGAGCUGGGACCGAGCAACGGGAGCUCACCCCGUCGCGGGGAUUCGAACCGCUGACCUUCUGAUUGCCAAGCCCUAGGCUAAGUAGUUUAGACCACAGCACCACCUGCAUCCCUAGGACAUUUAGUUGCUGUUCCUUUUUACUCCUCCUUCUAAGGGAGGCCUGAUCCUGUGUAUGGAAAUGCUUCAGCAGUUUCUUCAAACUGGUGCCCUCCAGAUGUUUUGGACUAUGACUCCUAUCAGCUCCAGAAAGUUUGACAAUGCUGGCUGGUGCUGGUGGGAGUUGUAGUCCACAUCUGAAGGCCACUAGAGUUUGGCAACAGGCAGCUUUAAAUACUCCAGACUGCUGCCAGCAACCUUUAAAUUAUUAGCUGUGAGAAUAUGUCACUUUUUAAAAUGUUUUUUAAUCUUAUUUUAAAUUAUUUUGUUGCUUUGUUGUUUUUCACCCUAGGGUCCUUUGGGGCAGAGGGGGGAACAAUGGGAUAGAAAGGUUAACAUAAAUGGUGAUGGUGAUUAUGUUUUGGGCUGCAGUUCCCAACAGCCCCAGCCGGCACAGCUGAAAGAUACUCAGAGUCAAGAGUGGAUUUCAUGCUCUUUAUUCAGCUCAUAGUGGUGAGGAGGGAAUGAAAGUCCCCUCAAAGUAUCUGCUUUAUAUACAUUAUUUACACAAUGGGCUGCACGUGAUUGGCUAAUUCUGGAAUUCUCCUGUAGGCCAAUCAGGUUGUGGAUUCACUUCUAUCUGGAGCUGGAUUGGGUGGCUCCUGCCGACCAAUCAUACUGCUGCAUUGUUCUAGGACCAAUCAGACUGCUGCAGUUUGGAUCCUAUUCAACUCAGUACAUAACACCCCUCCCCUCUAAGUUCCAGUCCUGCCCGGGAGGUUGCAUUCAUAGUCCUCAAGGUACGCCGGCGGCUUACGUGUGCGUUGCGGCCUGGGGUGUUUCCUGGUCCGGGGUUCAGGUUCUGGCUCGUGUUCCAAGGAUGCUGGGUGUGAUGGGCCGUUUGGUCUGGUGCAACCAGCUCGCUCAGUCAUGGUUCUGGUUCCGGUGUCCUUUCGGCCUCGCGGGUCCUCUCUGUAUUUACUGAUUCUGCCUCUCCUGCUGGCCCCUCCUGUUCUGUGGGUCUCACUGCCCCACUGUUCCCUUGGGACUCCUCUGACCUGUCCUCCUCCUGGUUUUCUCCGGAGUAUCAUCGCCGUAUCUGGUCGCAGUGGCGGCGCCAGCAUUGCCCCCAUCCAUUAGCACCUCAUACAACACGGGGCCAGUGACCCUGGUGACUGUGGCGGGUACCCAUGCUGGGCCUGCCCCAAAGUUCUUUGCGUACACUGGGUCCUGGGCCACAAAGGUUCGGGGGUUCCUGCCUUCCCCCACCACUAUCUCAUCCUGAGCUCUAUUGGGGUGAAGGCGGUCCAAUCUGACACGGGGCCAGUGACCCUGGUGACUGUGGCGGGUACCCAUGCUGGGCCUGCCCCAAAGUUCUUUGCGUACACUGGGUCCUGGGCCACGAAGGUUCGGGGGUUCCUGCCUUCCCCCACCACUAUCUCAUCCUGAGCUCUAUCGGGGUGAAAGCGGUCCAAUCUGAUUGCAAGGCGCCGACCCAUUAGUAGUUCAGCGGGGCUCCGGCCAGUCAUUGAGCUGGGGGUGCUGUGCUGUGCUAGAAGGAAUGUGGCAAGGCGGUACUCCCAAUACCCUUGCAUCAUGCGGCGGAGGGUGUCCUUGGUGGUCUGCACCAUGCGUUCUGCUUGGCCAUUGGUGGCAGGGUGGAAUGGCACCGAACGGAUGUGGCAGAUGGCGUUCUGCUCUGUGAAGGUUUGGAAUUCUCCUGAAGUAAAUGCGAUCCGGUUGUCUGAGACGAGAGUGUCAGGGAGUCCGUGGGUUGCAAACAGCCUGCGUAGUACCCGGAUGGUUGCAGACGUGGGAGUGGACGGUACCAGUGCGACUUCCAGCCAUUUGGUGUAUGAGUCCACCACUAUGAAGAAUGUUUUCCCCUGAAAGGGGCCAGUGAUGUCCACAUGCAGGCGUGACCAUGGUGCUCGGGCGGACUCCCAGGACUGGACUGGGGCCCUUGGGGGAUCUGGGUGGGAUUCUUGGCAGGCAUGGCAGUGUUUGACCCAGGCCUCUAUCCGUCGAUCCCUGGCCACCACACAUAACUCCUGGCAAGGGCCUUCAUUCUCACUACCCCUGGGUGUGUCUCGUGUAGGGCUGUGAGGACCCUUUUGCGGAGGGGCUGGGGAACAACGACCCUGCUUCCCCAUAACAGGCACCCCUUGUGGGCCGACAGUUCAUGUUUGCGGGUUGCUGGCGAAUUCUGGCCCGGGGCUGCUGAUGGGCCAUCCCCUCCACACCCAGUCCAGGACCCUAUCUUUCUUGGAAUGGUGUGCAACUUCUUGUGCCUGAAUGGGGCGGUCAGGAAGCAGCUCCAGGCUCAUAACCUCUUGUGCAGGUGCUGGGUCGGGGCCUGUUUCCGGUAGUGGUAGCCUGCUGAGUGCGUCCGCAUGGCCCAUCACCUUCCCAGGGUGGUAAAUCAGUGCAUACUGGUAGCUGGCAAGGGAAAUUGACCACCUGAGGACGCGAGGAGACAGCACUUGGGGGGGUCUGCUUUUCGGGGGCAAACAAGCCAAGCAACGGCUUGUGGUCAGUCACCACGGUAAAGGGCCGCCCGUACAAGAAAUCAUGGAAUUUUUUUACUCCCUUCACGAUUGCCAGACCCUCCUUGUCGAUUUGCAAGUAGUUCCGCUCAGUUGUGUUGAGUGUCUGGGAAAAGUAUGCCACCGGUACCUCUCUUCCAUCCGGGAGUUGGUGUCCCAGGACUACGCCGAUGCCAUAGGGCGAGGCGUUGCAUGCUAGCACCACCGGCAGCCUCUCGUCGAAGUGUGCCAAGACCGAGUUUGAGACAAGCAAGUCCGUGACUGCCUGGAAUUCGGCCUCCUGGCGCUGGCCCCACACCCAAGGGGCCCGCUUGUCCAGGAGUCUGUGUAGGGGCUCCGCUACCGCCGCCUUGUGGGGAAGGAAGGAAUGGUAAGAGUUCAAUAGUCCCAAGAAGGCCUGAAGUUCAGUCUUGCUCUUGGGCGCUGGGGCAUCACAAAUGGCCCGUACCUUGUCCCCAGUUGGGUGGACCCCUUCUGCGUCCACCAUAAAUCCCAGAAAGUCCACCUGAGGCACUCCUAGUAGACAUUUUUCCCACUUCACCUUGAGACCCGCCAUCUGGAAACGGUGCAGAACGGUGCGGAGGCGAUCCUCAAACUCCUCUGGUGUGGGCCCAGCAAUCAACACAUCAUCGAAUAAGGGGGUGACACCAGGAAUCCCUUUAAGGAGAGAGUCCAUUAGAUUCUGGAAUAUGCCUGGUGCCACACUAACACCGAAUUGCAGCCGCUUUACCAUGAACCCUCCUCUGUGCGUCACAAUCGUCUGUGCCUCUGCUGUGGCCUCAUCUACUGGCAGCUGUUGAUAUGCUUGGGCCAAGUCCAGCUUGCCAAAAAAUUUUGACCCAGCCAGGGUGGCAAGGACAUGGCUGACCACUGGCACUGGGUAUGCGUGGGCCGUGAGGGCCUUGUUUAUGGUACAUUUGUAGUCUGCACAGAUGCGGACUGAACCAUUAGGCUUGAUGGGUGUGACGAUUGGGGUUUCCCAGGGGGCAUUAGGCACCGGCUCCAGCACUCCUUACUCCACGAGCCGGUCCAAUUCCUCGUCUAUACGAGGUUUCAGGGUGAACUGGACCCGGCGGGCCUUGAGCCUGACAGGUCGUACUGUGGGGUCAAGCUGUAGAGCAAUGGGGGGGGGCCCGUAUACUGUCCCAAUUUCCCAUUGAAAACCCCUGGAAAUUCCUUGCAUAUGGCGUCCACGUCCACUUGUAAGCUAGUGUGGUUCACCCCGGUGACGGCUAGCCCCAGUGGUCCAAACCAUGCCAAUCCCAGUAAGCUAAUGUAGGGGCCCUUGACCACAAGCAAGUCCAGUUGCCGCGUCCGCCCUCGAUAUUGCACCCUGAAGGUCCCCAUCCCCAUUGUGGGGACCUUACGUUUCUGGAAGUCCUGGAGGGUGAAUGGGGCCGGCCUGAGUUUGGGACCCCCACUAGGACACAGUUUCCUUAAGGUCCCUGCCGAGAUUAUGAAUAGAGUUGAACCCAUGUCAAGCUCCAUGCGGCACGGGACCCCCUCUAUCUGUACCUCUACAUAAAUUUUCUCUACGUUGGGGUGGGGCAACUGGUAUACCUGGAAGUCUGUGAGCUCCGUCGAGUUGCCUUGGUGCGUUGGGCCCUGGGGCUCUUGGAUCGGUCAUCUGAUGCUUGACGUCGGGUGGGCUGAGCCCGACACACCCGAGCGAUGUGCCCCAAUUUUCCGCACUGCCUGCACUCUGCGUUGCAGAAACGGCAGGUCCUCCUCUCGUGACUCUCCCCGCAGCUUGCGCAGUUCCCUCCUUUUCAUCGAGGCAGCCAUGGUCUGUGCGCUGCUUGAAUGCACUGCUGUACUCAGUGCACCUCCUCCCUGUCAGAUCCUGAGUCGUCGGUGAGGUCUUCGUGGUGGACCCUUGGUUGGGGUGACAGGCUCGGCCGUGCCUCUUGCGUCGACCUCUUGGUAGCUUCUGUUGCCAGGGCCUCCUCCAGGGCGACCUAGAACGUUAGGUCCUUCUUAGUGUAGAGGCGUCGUUGCAGCUUCUCAUCCUUCAGGCCACCGACGAGGCAGUCACGAAGCAUGUUCUCCAAUUCUGAGAAGUUGCAGAACCGGGCGGCUUGGCGGAGAGAGGUCACAAACCCAGUUAUGGUUUCCCCUGGGGCUUGCCACUUUGCGUAGAAGGCAUUUCAGCGAGCCACCACUGAGGGCUACGGUGAAAAGUGCCCCUUCCGCCAUUCCAUUAUUGUUUUGUAUGGAACAGUAGCGACGUCUUCAGGCACAAGGAGAGCCCGGGCGAUUUCAAAUGUCUCCUCUCUGCAGACGCUGAAAAGUAUCGCCCUCUUCUUGGCAUCUUCUUCAUCGGCGACCCCUUUGGCUUCUAGGAGGAAGGUGAAACGGGAGGCAUAUGCUUCCCAGUCUCCGGAUGCUGGGUUGAAUGGCGAGAAGCUGCUGUUGGUUGCCAUUCUGAGUUCCUUGGGUCCCGGAGCUGAAGCCUGGAUACACGGUGCGAGGCAGCGGUGGGGCAGGUGGCGGUGCUGUGUGUGGCAGUCAGCUCAGCAGGAUCCCACCUUCGUCGCCAGUGAAAUAUACUCAGAGUCGAGAGUGGAUUUCAUGCUCUUUAUUCAGCUCAUAGUGGUGAGGAGGGAAUGAAAGUCCCUACAUUAUUUACACAAUGGGCUGCACGUGAUUGGCAAAUUCCGGAAUUCUCCCAUAGGCCAAUCAGGUUGUGGAUUCACUUCUAUCUGGAGAAGGAUUGGGUGACUCCUGCCGACCAAUCAUACUGCUGCAUUGUUCUAGGACCAAUCAGACUGCUGCAUUCUGAAUCCUAUUGUUCUAGGACCAAUCAGACUGCUGCAUUUUGGAUCCUAUUGUUCUAGGAUCAAUCAGACUGCUGCAGUUUGGAUCCUAUUCAACUCAGUACAUAACAACAGCUAUAUAUGAUAGUAGGGCUGAUGGAAAUGUGGUCGUGCUGGCUGUGGCUGAUAGAAGCCCAAACAUCUGGAGGGCACCAGGUUAUGGAAGGCUGUACUUAAGAAUCCGUCUCCUCCCAGGUGCCUUUGAGACAUUGUUCAACUACAACUGGGCUGAUGGGGGUUGGAGUCUACUAGCAUCUGGAGAGUGGCAGGUUUAGGGGAGGCAGCUUUGAUUUCAAAAGUAGUACAAGCGGGAUCCUUAAUUUCUCAGAAGCAGAUUGAGGAUUAUAAAUUGAGGUCUUUCAUGACUGAAUCUAGCAAAAGUCAAACUUUGAGGCUAGGAUCCCGGCUUGGAUUGAAGAAGGAAAGUUGGAAAGAACCCUCUAUCCAGGGAUUGACUGACUUUUGGGACAUGGACCUGGGCUUGUAGGAGUUUGAAGUUUUGGGGGUCGCUAGAAUUGGAGGAAUCCUGAAAUACGUUCUGAAACACUCUAUGGACUUUACUUUUAACUUUGGAAAUUUGGCUGAACUGUCCAGAAGGAACAAAAGUAUUGCUAGGCUGGAGUUUUCCCGAGAUUUGCUCCUGAGCAUCAAAGAAUAUGAAGAAGACCUGCAGAAGGGACUUGGAAGAGAUUUAAGAGCCUCGGAUAUAAGGGCUCCAGGUUGAUGGAUCAUAUGGAACUGACGGAAAGGACUGGCAGAAUCCGAAGCCAGGGAGAGGAGAUAGUGGAAGAUUAAUGGGAAAUUUAAAGUGUUUAUUUAGAAAUUUUGUUAAAGUAAUGACUGUCAGAAAAAUGGUGGAAUGAUAUUUUAUGGAUUUAGCAGAAAUGCUAUAAGAAGUUGGGUGUAUAUAAGUAAUCAACCGUUAAUGGGAAAUAAGGCUAAAGAAUAUGUUAUUCAUAAUAUGACAGAAAAUAGAGAAAGAUGGAAAGGAUUUGCUGAAACAAGUAUUAGAAGCGGGAUACAAGAAGGGAGGUGUGAGGAAGUCGAGGAAACAAGGGAAUGAAGGACAGAGUAUGGAAAAGGAAGGGAUGUUUUUAAAUUGUUUUUGUCUUGCUUUGUUCAAUGGGUUUAGGGUGGGCUUGUAUUGUUUAUAUAUUGUAUUGUUUUUCUCUUUCUUUUUUUCUUUUUUGUUUUUUCUCUCUUUUUUCUACUUUUUUUAACUUUUAAAAGCAAUAAAUAUUAUUAAAAAAAAAAAAAUAGGGGAGGCAGCUUUGAGAGUCCCUUCAGAACCCUUAGCAUGCUACACCUCCCAUACCCUCCAACAUUUCUCCAAUUAAAAUAGGGAUGUCCCAUUCCAUAAUGAUAAUUUUACUAUUUAUACCCCACACAUCUUUCUGGGUUGCCCCAGCACUCCGGGCAGCUUCCAACAUAUAUAAAAACACAAGAAAAAAACAUUAAAAAAAACCUCCCUAUACAGGAUUGUCUUCAGACAGCUGGUGGGCUGGAUAACUUCAUACCCUCAAGCAUUUCUCCAAUAGAAAUAGGGACAUCCUAAGGAAAAGCGGGAUAUUCCAGGAUCAAAUCAGAAACCAGGACAGCUUCACUAAAUCUCUGGUAAAUAGGGACACUUGGAGGGCCUGCACCUCCUACUGGGGAAGCCAUGACAGUUAAGAGUGGUGAAAUGGCAAUAUACCUUUCUGGUGUAAAUACUGAUAGUAUUCACAAAGGAUGACUAUCUAAGGCACUAGUCAUUAAAAUAAAUAAAUAUUAAACUAGAACAUACACUUCAACGUGUACACACAAAGUAGAAACUGGG